rnacentral:rRNA from 1 species
CCUACGUGAGGCAGCAGUGGGGAAUUUUGCGCAAUGCUCGUAAGAGUGACGCAGCGACGCCGCGUGAAUGACGACGGCCUUCGGGUCGUAAAGUUCUUUCGACAGGGAAGAAAAUGCCUAUAAGUAACUGUGUAUGUAUUGACGGUACCUGUAUAAGCAGCCCCGGCUAACUACGUGCCAGCAGCCGCGGUAAUACGGAGGGGGCGAGCGUUGUUCGGAGUGACUGGGCGUAAAGAGGACGUAGGCGGUGUUGUAAGUCAAUAGUCAAAGACUAGAGCUUAACUUUAGAAAGGCUAGGAAUACUAUAAGACUAGAGUAUCAGAGAGGAGUGCAGAAUUCCAGGGGUAGCGGUGAAAUGCGUAGAUAUCAGGAAGAAUACCGUUAGCGAAGGCGGCAAUCUGGCUGGAAACUGACGCUGAGGUGCGAAAGCGUGGGUAGCAAACAGGAUUAGAUACCCCUGUAGUC